UACAUUCCCAAUAUUCUUAAUACACAUUUCUAAGAGAAAUGUCAUAAGAGAAUAACAACACACUGUUGAAACCAUUUUUCAAAUGGACUUAUACUCCUUUAUCAUUUUGGAGACCUCACCACUGCGUUAUAGUGUCAGGGAGUUAGAGGGCUAACUCUUAUGGAGAAAUCCAGGCCAUACAGCAGACCCAAUCUGGUGAGAUUGGUUUUGACACAAGACAAAAACAAAACAAACAACACUUUUUCAUAUUUACAUAUUAUACUUGAAUCUCACCCAAUGUCUCUAGCCUUUCUAGCGAGGGUGAACAGGCCUCACCAGAAAGUCAGGACAGAGGUCAUUCAACACCAUUAAUUAACUGAGUGUUAUUUUCCCUUUGCUUUCAGACUCAUUAUUAUUAUCUGUGUACCAGGUUUACAUUGGGGUUUUCAGUACAUUUCUAGAUGGAUACUUCAGAAAAUUGUAUUUGUGUGCCCUUUAAAGGUGCAUCCUUUCUAACCCGUGAAGAACCACAGUAAACCCAAAUAAAAAGACCCCACACAAUAAAUCAGACACGGUAUUAAACACCACUAGCAAAUAUGCAUAACAGGUGGGUUGUGUGUGUGCUGGCGUUUGUGGCAAAACGUAAGGCAAAAACAAACAAAUGGCCAGGCCUUACUCAAUUGGGAGCUGGGUACCUUUACACUUAAUAGAACAUCAGAUUUUCACUAACUGCUCUCCCAAGGCAACAGCCUCUGGAAACAUUUCAAAGGGCGAGAUCCACAUCAAAGAGACCUGUACGGGCAACGUUCCCAAUGCUGCACCCUCAGCAGCCUCCUUUGGCACGGACGCAGUGGACAAGGCAGUCAAGCUAUUUCAACGAAGCCUGGUCUCUGAUCGGCUUGUGUUGUCACGCCAACUCCUAUGGACAAUGACCAUCGGUGUUGGCAAGACUGCACGAACAGAUCUGGGACCAGGCUAGCUCCAAUGUUCUGUUCUCACAGGCUUCUCAAUGGCUUAUAAAGACAUACUGUUUCGAUGUGUUUGCUGUACUCUUACCAGAUGUUACUGUGUAUGAUCUCAGGAUGCUUGUGAGAAACUGAUGAGGCGCUUGAAGCCGGUCGUGGAAAAUCAUCCCAAAUAUACAUGGCAACAAUGGAUUGCCAGAAGGUCAGCUAAUCUGCAACUGGCUUCUUCAUGUACGUAGCCUGUCAAUACAGUAGCCUGCAGUGUGUAAUGAAGCAAUGCAACGUAUCAAUCACUGACUGUCGUAAGGCCGUGAUCACUGCAAUUGCACGAUUACGGCGCUCAUAUUGGGAAAGUCUCAGUCACAAGGAGGCUAUCCUAAUAUGGGCACCGUAUGGAUUCCAGGGGACCUCACACGGGUGUGGACUGGGAGAACAGCGUGGGUCCAGCCUACUAUUACUUCACCUUCGGGGCCUGCUACUCAGAAGUGUAGAUUGACUAUCUCACUGGAGAUCAUGAAGUACAGUAGUAUGACCUUUUGUCAAAAUCAGUGAAAUGUUAAUUAAUACUACUUCAUACUGUACCUGCAGGCAUGCUGUAGAACUCGCAAUAAGCAUGUAUGAGCCUUUGAUUUAUGUUAUGUAUCAAGGACGUCAUUGGGAUUUAUAUAAUUAACUGUGUGUUUGUUACAGAAUCUCUGAACAGAUAUUGUGAUGGCUGUUGGAAGAAGCCUUAACCCAGCUCUAGAUAUAGGACGGGUACAGCACUGUAUAGCCCUCACAGGUCUAGUGGCUGUAUAUUUCUACAGUAUUAUGGAUCAAUAUGGGUCAUAUUCAGUAGCAUACAUUCCAAUAUGAGUUGAGACAAAGUUAACAUGGUGCUAUAUAUAUAUUCAGGAUUGAGGAGGCUUUGUCCAGGGCAUAAGUCUGUACACCAUAGAGGAGAUGCAGUUCUCUCCUGAGGAGGUUCUGAUGACCAGGGGUCCGUUCCAGUACAAGAUUCCUGCCCUUUGAUGUCCAACUGCUGGCCAACGCACAGAACCCACAUGCCAUCUACAUGUCCAAGGCAAGACAAACGACAUCCCUUGACACAUCCAUAAAGGCAUCAGUUAGGCCUAAAUACAGAUCAUUUUCUGGACUGAACGAUUUGCACCAUGCCACAUUGUCAAGUUCAAGUUUGUCGGGUAAAACACAAAAUGCUUUCACUCAAGGUUCCCGAGGAUUUACUUCCUAAGUGGUAAUUGAUGGUCGACCAAGUUGUUACAGGGUAUAGGCGAGCCGCCAGUGUUCUUGGCCAGCACCAUCUUCUUGCCAUAAAAGGAGGGAGUUGCUGCAGCCCGUAGAGAGAAAGGGUUAGGGGACAGCUUCCCUCUAAGCUCCCCCUGCUACUGCUGAGAGGAUAUGCAUGGCCUGUGACGACCAGUUCACUAAAAUGGUAACUUUUCUUCAUUUCGGAGGACACAGAUCAAGUCUAGUUCUAGACUAAAAAGCGGUUUGAUGGAAAUUUUCCAUUGAAAGUGCUUUUUAGUUCGGGACUAGGCUUAUUCUGAGUCCACUAACUGGCCCACGUCUACUGUUUUGGUCUCUCCGAUACCCUUUCGCCAACAACAUUCAUUUAACGGCAUUAUAUUAUAUCUCCACAGAAAGGAACAUUCAAACCAUGGACUAUCAACUGAAUAUGACUCGGUAGCCUCGUCAGACCUGGGCUUGGCUCCAACUGUUAAUCAUUCACCUCAUCUUAACGUAUCGUUCGGUAUUGGUGGGUUUCUUGCAGAUUGUGUGCUUUCUGGAUGACUCGGAAAUGUAUCUAGAAUAUGUGAUUGACGCUGUUGCUUGAAAUGUCACUCUUGUCCUAGGAACCAAGGGUAAGAUAAAUACACCAUCUGGUGUUGUUUUGGUCGUGUAUGUUUUGGGCUGUUUGGUAAAACUUUAACAAACCUGCAUCUGUGACCUACGGCCAAGAGCGGUCAACAUACAGAACCCAGAUUCACCUAAAAAAAAAUAGAACUGAACUUUGAGCGUUGGUUUAAUUCUGUGCUGUAAAGCAUUCUGAUGUCUGACUAAUAAAGUAUACAUUUUUGAAGCAUUGUAUUCAAGUUGAGAAACAUGCAAUUUAUUGAAUGUGAAAGGCAUACACGGCAUUGGAUGGAUUCACAAUUGGACAACCCUACCUUUUACAUCAAAUUUAAUUUGAGACAAACUUUUUUUAACAUUUUUUUUUUUUUUUUACCUCUUGAAACUCUGGGGGCAGUAUUUCAUUUUUGGAUGAAAAACGUUCCCGUUUUAAACGGGAUAUUUUGUCACGACAAGAUGCUCGACUAUGCAUAUAAUUGACAGCUUUGGAUAGAAAACACUGACGUUUCCAAAACUGCAAAGAUAUUGUCUGUGAGUGCAACAGAACUGAUGUUACAGGCGAAACCCAGAUAAAAAUCCAAUCAGGAAGUGCCCCAUUUUUUGAAAGCGCUGCAUGCCAAUGACUCCUUAUAUGGCUGUGAAUGGGCUACGAAUGAGCUUACGCUUUCUACAUAUUCCCCAAGGUGUCUACAGCAUUAUGACGUCUUUUUACGCAUUUAUGUUGAAGAAUAGCCGUAAGGGAUCACAUUGAGCAAGUGGUCACAUGAUGGCUCCCGUAGAAAAUCUUGCGUAAAGUACAGAAGUAGCCAUUUUUCCCAAUCGCUUCUUAUGAGAAACUAAUUGUGGAUAUAUUAUCGAAUAGAUAUGUGAAAAACACCUUGAGGAUUGAUUACACAAAUGCUUGUCUAGAUGCUGUAAAGAUCUGAGAUGACAGUGUGAUUAACAAAAGGCUAAGCUGUGUCUCAAUAUAUUUCAUUUGUGAUUUUCAUGAAUAGGAAGAUUUUCUAGGGAUAUUUAUGUCCGCUGCGUUAUGCUAAUUAGUUUGAGGCGAUGAUUACGCUCCCGGAUCCGGGUUUGAGAGUCGCAAGAAGUUUUGAAGCAAAGUAUA